CCUACGGGGGGCAGCAGUGGGGAAUAUUGGACAAUGGGGGGAACCCUGAUCCAGCCAUGCCGCGUGUGUGAAGAAGGCCCUCGGGUUGUAAAGCACUUUCAGUGAGGAAGAACGCCUGGUGGUUAAUACCCAUCAGGAAAGACAUCACUCACGGAAGAAGCACCGGCUAACUCCGUGCCAGCAGCCGCAGGUAAUACGGAGGGUGCGAGCGUUAAUCGGAAUUACUGGGCGUAAAGCGCGCGUAGGUGGCUUGAUAAGCCGGUUGUGAAAGCCCCGGGCUCAACCUGGGAACGGCAUCCGGAACUGUCAAGCUAGAGUGCAGGAGAGGAAGGUAGAAUUCCCGGUGUAGCGGUGAAAUGCGUAGAGAUCGGGAGGAAUACCAGUGGCGAAGGCGGCCUUCUGGACUGACACUGACACUGAGGUGCGAAAGCGUGGGUAGCAAACAGGAUUAGAUACCCCGGUAGUC
rnacentral:rRNA from 1 species